rfam:Astyanax mexicanus Tnplaced_Scaffold4031, whole genome shotgun sequence.
GUACUUGACUAUUGUAAGUCGCUUUGGACAAAAGCGUCUGCUAAAUGUAAUUUA